UGAUGAAGGCUCUCAGCCUGAGACAUUGACUAUUUAUUCCACUCCAUAGAUAUUGUCUGACCUGCUGAUUUUCUUGAGCAUUUUGUGUGUUGCUUUUAUAUUUAGAUAGCUCUUUCAGGGUAAAUAUUUAUGAAAUUUCAACCAUAAUAUUUUAGAGUUAGGAUCUUUGAAAUAAUAGAACCAGCCAAAGAACAAAAUACAACUUUAAAGAAAUAGAAUGGGACAAAAUUUCUAGAAUGAGAUAUACAGUACAUACUACCUAAACAGAAGGAUGUUUCCAUUCGUUUGGGAUAACACUUCCUCAAACUCAGAUACAGAAUAUUGAUGCACAGUGCUGGCCCUUGAAUAACAGCAAUAUUAUCAGUGAACAUAACUUUUUAAAAGUUCACUGUUAAUUAAAGUACUGUCUGCCACAAUAAUAAUGAAAUGUGAUGCCUUAAGGACAUCCAAUUGCAUUUCCUACCUUGUGAUUUUAUGUAUUUGAUCUAUUUCUGACUGUACUAAGCAUCAAAAUAUAUUUAUACAAUGUAGUGAGAUCCAUUGCCAAGUAUAGGAAAGGAGUGGCAUGUUUGACAAGUUAUGUACCCAUGGUUGUUGAGGUGUUGUUACUUUUGUAAACUUUGUUGAGUCGAAUUUGGUCCAUAUUGUAUUAUUUGCCCACAUUGAGAACUUUGGUUCAGAUCCUCAUUUUUAUGCUUAUAAUUGUAACUGGAGCAUUUUACUGAAAUCUGUGUCCAUUGUGAUCUCUUGCAUCUGCAUUAUAAUUUAGUUUAGCUGUUGUUCCAUUGCGUGGAUAAACACAUUGAAGAUUAUGUCUGUUAUAUCAAUUAGAACUUUAUUUCUGAACACCCCUGGGCCUCUUGUCCAAAUACUUUAUCCAUUAAAGUAAAAUUAUAUUUCCUAGUUUUAUUUUAAGGAAAUAAUGUAAUAGAGAAAGAGGGUGCAGCCCUGAAAAAUCUGUUUAUUUAUGAAUAGGCCCUUUUGUCCCUUCAAGCUGCAGCACACAACAACUCUCGAUUUAACCUUUGACCAAUCACAGGACAAUUUACAAUGACUAACUAACCUACUAAUUGGCACAUCUUUGGACUGUGGAUUAAGUUAUCCAGCUCUUUCUUGUACUUGUGUAGUGAGGAAAUAUUGAAUACUAGAGAUGUUGUAGUUCUGAAGUAGCAUUAAUGUAAUAUCCCAAUGUUCAACGUCCCAUGACACAAUCUAAAGAAGAGUUGCAUUCGUCUUUCACUGCUUUUUACUAAUAUUAAUCCCUUUAUUAACAUCAAUAGAAGUCUGAGGAGUCCAACUGGUACAUUUCCCUACAUUAUAAUAGAGACUACAUUUCGAUAAUUAUGAAGCAAUUUUGAGAGUUCUAAUUGAAAGCUAUUACAUAAACACAAAUUUAUCUAUUUUUCUCUUAUGUCAAUUUGUGCAUAAACCUCAUUAUCAUACAGAUUACACAAGGUUAUACAUCAUUUAGAACUAGCUACCAGUCAGAAAACAUAACAGAACAUGGGACAUAGAAGGUUGAAUAGGAACAGGCCUUUUACAACUAAUAUUUGCACUCAACACAAUGCCAAAUUAAACUAGAUCUCUCAGCCUUUACAAAAUCCAUAAUCCCUCCAUCCACUACUUUUUCAUGUGUUUAAUUAACUCUCUGAUAAACACCACAAUUAUAUCUGCUUCUUAAACUAUUAUAUUCCAAUGACAAGGCUUUUAACUGAAGCAUAUUAUUAUUCUAUGAAAUGAUACCUGUACAAUAGCAAAUAAUUUAAAAUAAUCGUUUCAAGAAAAAUAUGCAUAGAGAUCUACAGUCUAAUAUAAUUGUCAUUCUAUAAAUCAAAUAAUACAGCCAAUACUUCAGUUUCCUUGCUACCUCCACCUCCUUCUGCUGUAUAUGUGAUGCAUAUUCUAGUAAUGAUAGAAUUUUGCAAUUGCAACUGGAAUUAAGAACUUUCAAUCUCAUUAACAAAUAAUAGGUUAAGUGAUCUGCACUCCUGCAUUCAUCUAAGCUAGAUGCAGAAGGGCUAUUUCAAUGGCCCUCCUGAAAUCCAUUCAGAAUGGUCAGAAUGGCAACAAUGCCCAAAAGAUAGUCAGCAAAGAUGGACUGAGAUGGAAGGGUAGAGCUUAGCCUACUGAACAGGUUGUGAGUUCUCUUAAUAGUCUGCAAAUAUUUCAAACACAUUGAAAUUGAUGUACGUAAUCUAAAUAUAUAAAAUCCAUUAUACAUUAUAAAACAAUCAGUUGAACCAUAUAACAUGCUUAUAUAAAUUAAAACAUCAAACUAAACAAAAUCAUUUCAAAAUAUAACUCAAACUUCCCCUUUACCACCUCUACAAUCAGAAGGCCUCUUUUUAAAUUAAUGGGCUCUAAUUGAGAGCAAGAUCCAAGAGGAUCCUCUCAAGAUUAUACCAUGUGAAGUACCCCACCUUACUUACUUUCUUGGGCACGUAGCUCCUAAGUGCACCCCCACCCCCCAAAGAUGACCUCCUGUCUCCACCAUCCUUUGAAGUCGAUGGUAUGGUUGAAAUUCAUCAAUGCUUCUGCAAUCUAUUGCAUCCACCAUACAGGGGCUGGCCUAUACAGCUUCUCCAGAUCCCUGUUAGCCAACUUUACCCAUUUCCACCUUUCAUGAAGGGGACUUUGAGAGGUAGAGUACCCCACCUAGGGUCCAACAAUAGAACCUAGUGACUUUUACAGUGCCAUCCAUCAUUCAGUGAGGCCCAGGUUUGUAUAUACACAAGGACAAGCUGUUAAAAUGACUUAAAUCUUGAGUAUCUGACCGGAACUCCCAGCAAUCUCUAUGAAAACUGGGUCAUUGAAAUAAUAAAAAAACAGAAACUAAUGUAAAUAACUGAGAUGAAUGGAGAGUUGAAGAAAGGUCUUCAAAUUUUCGCCCAAACUAAACAACAUCAGAAAGGUGAUAGUUCAAUAAUACAGAACAGGGAAACAAACAAAGUAUCAGUUUAAAAGGGACGUAAGUAACAAUAAGAUUGAUUGGAUACUGUAUCCCACAAAUGUGAAGAAAAUCUAAAAUUAUUGAGUACAUUAUUAAACCUACAGAUACUCCCCAUCCUGUGUAUUCACAUCAUUUGUUAUUUUGUUUCAUACUUCUGACUUUGACAGUAUUUUUUCCUCUGUGAAUAAUUAUUGAUUGAAUUUUGCUCUAAUAUGAUUAUUUCAGUUAGUGGAGUGAAUAUGAAUUGCAGAAAGAGGCAAGAAUGAAAGUUAUGAGGUCCAGAAGCUCUUAAAUGAUAAGUUCCUAUUUAUUAUUACAGAGUCAGAGAAUCACAGAGCACAGAAACAUGCCCUUUGGGUCAUCAUGUCCAUUAGAUACCCAAAUAAGACAAAGGAGCAGAAUUAGGCCAUUCAGCCCAUUGGGUCUGCUCUGCCGUUCCAUCACAUAUACCAAUCCUACUCACCAGCUUUUGGUCCAUAGCCAUUUACACCCUAAUAAUUCACAUGCCCAUCCACAGUUUUUUAGAUGUUGUUAUAGUUGCAUAAGAAACAUAGAGGAGUACAACAAAUGCAGAAAAGAAACAAAGGAAGUUAAAAAUUGUUUUUUCUCAAGAUGACUACUGCUGAUAUUUAAAUCGGUUUCUAAAGCACUGAAAGUUUGCAAUUCAUAAAUUCUCUGCAGUUAUUUUAUAUGGGUCAGUUUGUGUUCUAUUUAAAUUGUUAGUACUCACAUUAUACUGUAGGUACAGAGCACAGAACAGCUGAAGAAGGUUUUUAUACAGGAGAUUUUUAUUAAUAUAAGAUUUAGCAGAUAAAGUGGUUGCCAGACAAAUAUCAGUGAACUUACUUUCUCUAUUUCAUCUAUAAAAUAUGGGCUGUAAACAAAAGUUGUUAAUUAGUUGCCACUUAUUGAUUUCUUGGUAUUUAUUGAAUGAUUGAUAUAAAAUAGCAAUCAAUUCCCUUGUGUAUAAUUGAUACAAAAAUUAAUCCUAAAUGGUUUUCAAACGACAAUGCCGAGCAUAGGUAAUUUAUUCAAUAACAGUGCCAAUUGAUUUUCCCACACUAUUAUCAAAAAAACUAAUUUGCUGACUAUUAUCACAUUGUGGUUAUGGGACUUUAUUAUUUGUAAUUCACAAUGGUGUCCACACUGACAAAUGUAAUUUAUUAACUGUAAAACAAUGUACAAUAUCCUAAAGCUUAAGAAGACAUUAUCUAAAUGCAAGUUUUUUAAUGUGUUUGUUGCAAUGUUAGUCAAACUCUCUAGCCCAGAAAAAGAAAAACUAUAUUAAUGUUAUAUACAAUUUCAAAAAUGUUUUAAAUGCUUUCAAUAUCUUUUAUUUCUGCUUCAAGAAAUCUAAUCCUUUCUCCUCCUUGUCUCUCAGCUUAAACUUCCAGCAAGUUACAGUACUUAAAAAGUUCCAGUGAAAGGUCUUCUCUAUGAAACACGAAUCAUGUUUCUCUUUCCACAGAAGCUUUCUAACCCGCGAUGUGUUUCUUGGUUUUAUAACACUUGCGUAAUAAAGCAACAUAUAAAUUCCUUUCUUUCUUCAAUCAAAGUAACAAGAAAGUUACUUUGUUUCAAUUCUGUCUGUAAUACAUCUGGUACACAUUUGUCACACUUCAGCGUGUCAUAUUUGAUCCUGACUGAUUCAAAUAUCAAUUUCAAUUAAAUUUAUCAUAUUAUAUAAUUGGACAAGUGGAAAACGUAUAAAUAUAUUUUGAUUUUUAUUCAUCUUCAGUUAAUCACAAAUGAACUGUUAGGAAACAUACCGAAUAAGAACACACAUUUUCCAAUAUACCAACAAUACAAUACACCAACCUAGAGGUAUUAAAAUGAAUCAACCAAUCAAGAUUGCUCAGUCUAGAAAAGUCACCACAAAAUCCAUGAUGAACAAUUAUUCAUUCAAAUAUUUCUGGGAAAUGCAUUGUUUUACUAUUAUGUUUUUCAGAAGGGGAAGAAAACAACUUACAAGAUAACAAAUUUACCUGUAAACUAACCUAGCUCCUGUUUAAUUGCUAAACUUACUCAGAGAUCAGCCCAAGUGUUUUGCUGUCUACCAACUCUUCCUGAGGGCUUCCUGCUCUAAGUGCUUCCUGGCCUAAGUGUUUCUUGUUGCCCUUCGUUCCUCUUGAAGUGUUUCUUCUCCUCAGAGCUUGCUGACCAAUCCUGAGUGCUUUCUCUGGAGCAUAACAUCCUGCUUCUAAACUGUUUUACUUUUUGCUCAGAAACCCGGAUUCUCGAUUGCCUCUGACUGAACUGGCACAUGCAUCUUAAGGCUUUCUUCUUCUUUCAAUAAGGUCUUGCACUAUGAUUAGCUAAUGAUUAACUUUAUUAUUUGUCACGUGUAUAUCAAAACAUGCAGUGAAAUGUCAACGACCAGCACAGUUCAAGGAUGGGCUGGGGACAGCCUGCAAGUGUUGCCUUACUCUAACGCGAACAAAGCAUGCCAACCAUUUACUAACCCUAACUUCUAUAUCUUUGGAAUGGGGGAAGGAAACUGGAUAACUGGAGGAAACCCAUCGCGUCACAGAGAGAAUUUACAAAUUCCUUAAAGACAGUGGUGAGAAUUCAAUCCCAAUUGCUGAUCGCUGAUGCUGUAAAGUACUGUGCUAACUGUUACACCAUAUUGCCAUCCAUAGUAUGCCAAGGGCUGUGGGGUGAGAUUUUCCCUUUCCACCUAGCCCAUUCCAAGCUUUCUGAAUAUCUUCCUCAUUCUGUCUUUCAUGGACUAGCCUAUCAUGUUCCUAUUAUCAGCACUGGAUUUUUCUUUGUCAUUAAUGUCCCUUACAGUUAUCUUUGCAAUUCUUUUGGAUUAGGAUUAUUUAUGAAUUUUAUACUAUAAUAGCAAUCACAUUUUGAACUAACGUUUAAUGUCCAAAGGAAAGAAAAAGUGAUUUCAAACCCCAUAAAUUACUCUAAAAUAAUAUUUUUCCGCACUGAGAUUCCAUGAGAACACCACAAAUAUUUUAAUCCCUGCUUCCUUCUCGUGCUAUUGUUUCUUGAUAAUUCUUUGCUUGGCAGCAUCUUUGUUCAAUUGAUCUAUUUGGAUUUAUUCACAGUGUCUGAUGUACAAAGAUUAUAUCAGAAUUUUUAUAUACAAUACUAGAAUGUGUUCUCAAAUUAAUGUUAAUGCUUUUGUGAGGGUUUAUCCAUCUUGUUUUUUCUCUCUCUCUGUCACUAACAGCAGGAACUUGAUUCCAGACAUUUCAUCAGCAAGUGUGGCCAAUAAGCUGUGAACAGACAACUUCCUGUAGUCCAGCUUCUAUGUUAGUUUAUUUCAAAAGAUAUCUCCAGUAACAGAAGAUUGGCUUCCUCUUUUGACCAGAAGUUAAACAAAUGUCAGAAGAUGUGUUUGGAAAGUGGUGGUGGCAUCCAUAAGUCUCGCGAGACCAUGGAUUUGUGCCUGGAAAGUCUUGCUUCAGUCUGUGUUGGUGGAGCAGCGUCUGUUGUGGCUGUAGAGGCCCACAUGGGAGUGACAGUCUCGGCUGCAGCGACUGCACUUGAAGGCCCUGCCCUCCAGUGUUGUCUUGGUGCUGUUUUCUUGACAUCUUUGAAACGAAGGUGGGGCCGCCCUUGUGCUCUCUUGCCGGAGGCCAGUUCCCUGUACAGCAGGUCUUCUGGCUGCUCGUCCGAUCCAUCUAUUGAUCUCAGGGUCUAGGCAGAGAUUGUCCGUGAUGGUGGAACCAAGGGAAUUAAAAAAAGAAGAGGAUCCUGGUUUGAAGUUUUUUCUAUGAUUUGUCAUUGGAUGCUAAGCACUGCUGACAUCUACAGAACCUUCUCAUUGGAAAGAGGCUGAAUCUGUGAGUGGAUUAUGAAACAGACAAGUGAAAAACGAAAUGGAAUCCUUUGGACCAUGUGGCAGCACCUUGAUGACCUCGAGUUUGAAGAUGACAUCCCCCUACUGUCCAGUUCUAACCAAUAGAUGCAAAAAAAAACUCUUGACCACUAACUCCACCAGCUAUAGACCCAUAGUGAUGAGAGAUACAAUCCUGGAAGAACAGACUUCCUAGGUCUACAUAUAUAUGGUAGAACGGAUGUCAAGGCCAGCAUCAACAAUGCCAGAGUAGUUUUCAAUGUCUUGAAGAAAGUGUGGAUAUCAAGGAAAACUAAUAACAGAAUAUCAACACAAAUGUUAAAACAAGGCUCCUAUAUAGCUCUGAAACCAGGAGAACAACAAAGACGACCUAGAAAAACUGCAGACUUUCAUCAACCAGUGCCUGAGAAGGAUCCUAAACACGAAAUGAACUGACAAAGUAACCAACCAGACACUGUGGGAAAACACCAAUUAGGAAUCCAUAGAGGUACAAAUACGCAAGCAGAAAUGGAGGUGGAUUGGCCACACAUUGACAAUGCCACCAAUAUCACCAGGCAGGCAUUAAAAUGGAAAGAAGAAGAGAAUGCUGAAAUAACACAUGGAGAAGAGAUGUUGAGGCCAAAAUUAGAUGUCGUGGACACUUCCGGUUCACCAUCUAGAAAUUGCUUCAGAACAGAGGAUGAUGGAGAUGGAAGUUCAUCAGUGGCCUAUGAUCCACUGGGAGCUACAGGCCCAAGAAGAAGGUGGUCAACAUGUUAACAAUACCAUGCUGUUGUUAAAAGGCAACAGGUCUGGGACUUCCACACAUGCAUUGACAAUUGCUGAAGUUCCGUAAUUAAUCAGCAAGCAACCACACAACAAAGUACUGUGCAAUGGUCUUAGGCACAAGUAAAAAAUAUCUCUCAAGCAAAGAUGCUUUCAAAAAUAAUGAAAGGAAAAGUUUCUAAAUAUCAAAAAAAAACUAUAAAGAGCAGUAAACACUAAAUUAAAAACUAAAUCAAAUUAAUAUUUGGUGUGACUACACUUUGCCUUUAAAACUGCAUCAAUUCUCUUCAGUACACUGUUGUGCAGUUUUAUAAGAAAAUAAUCUGGUAAGAUUUUUCGAAGCAUCUUGGAGAACUUGCCACAGUUCUUCUGCUGUUUCACUUGCUUUUGUCUUUCCAAGUAAUCCCACACAGCCUCAAUGAUGGAGGCCAUACCAUCAGAAACCAUACAGAAAUCUAGGAUGCCUAAGACUUUUGCAUAGUUUAUUUCAGUUUACUUCACUGUUGACUUCCCCCUCACACCCUUCCCCUGAUAUCCUGGGGCUGAACUGACUUGUAAGGUUCUCUCACUUUCAGUCUGUGGGGAGGCGAGCUGGUGAGGAGUGAAGAAGACACGCACUCUCAGGGUGCCAGUUUUUCACUGAUACAUUAAGUGUUUGGGGGUCUGAUGCCCUUGUUGCCAUUUUCUGAGUGGGCGAUAUGCUAGUUUAUGUGUGAGGGAUGGGUCCGAUGUUCUCUGUUAAUUUUUGUGUCAGAGAGGGGAUCAGGGGUUUGAUGUUACUAUUGCUUUUUUUUUCUCAUGAUGGAGGGUGUUGGGGGUUGAUGUUCUAGCUGCUAUUUUCUGGGAGGGCAAUCUGUUAAUCUUUGUGCAAGGGAGAGGUUGAUGCUUUUUCUUUCUUUUCCAUGACUUCCAUGUUUUUUCGGUAUAACAAAAUGAACCUCUGAAUGGCAAACGUCAAUGAGUUUCAGUCCUGCUGUUACUUAGAACACAGAUGGAAAAUUGUUCUCCACUCCUAGCCAGCAAAUUCAGUAGUUGCACACUGGCGUGAUCUUGAAAUUUCAGGCACAUGUUCUGAAUCAAUGACAAACAACUGGAAAAAUUAAGGCCAUUAAACUGGAAACAAACAUGAAAUGACAAACCUUGAGAAAGAAAACUCAACAGAUUUUAGUAUUUGCUAUAAAAAUUGAUUUUGCUAAGCAAGUUUUGAAGUUAAAUUGCCAAAUGAAAGAUUGUUAAAUUUGAAAUUAAAGACAUUUCAAGAGGACUAGAAUAUAAAAGCAAGGAUGCAAUGUUGAGGCUUAAUAAGGCACUGGUGAAGCCUCACUUGGAAUAUCAUGAGCAGUUUUGGACCCCUUAUCUAAGAAGGGAUAUGCUGACAUUGGAGAGAGUUCAAAGGAGGUUCACUAAAGUGAUUCUGGGAUUGAAAGGCUCGUCAUAUGAAGAGUGUUUAAUGCCUCUGGGCCUGUACUCACUGGAAUUCAGAAGAAUGAGGGGUGACCUCAUUUAAACCUAUUGAACAUUGAAAAACCUUGACACAGUAGACGUGGAGAGAAUGUUUCCCUGUUAUAGGGAAGUUCAAGAUCAGAGGACCUAGCCUUAGAACAGAGGGGUGUCCUUUUAGGACCAAGGUGAGGAGGAACUUCUUCAGCCAGACUGGUGAAUCUGUGGAAUUCAUUGCCGCAAGAGGUUAUGGAGGCCAAGUCUUUGGGUAUAUUUAAGGCAGAGGUUGAUAAGAUUCUUGAUUAGUCAGAGCAUAAAAGAAUAUGGGCAGAAAGCAGGAGAUAGGGGCUGGAAGGGAAAAUGGAUCAUCCUUGAUGAAAUGGCAGAAUAGACUCAAUGGACUAACUGGCCCCAUUCUGCUCCUAUUAUCUUAUGGUCUUAAGAGCUUGGAUUUUAGAUCAAAUUUAUGCAGUAGCUCCAACGUUUUGUCAUUACAUUAAAUCACAAAGCUGCAAAGCUAUUGCAGGGAGACUAGGAAUGGAGUUUCAAAUGCUGUUGUAUCUAUUCAAAAACUGGAGAGUAUUCAAUUACCUCCUGAUAAGUGAGUCAUCAACAACCUGUUGUGGUUGCUGUUGAUAUCAAGUUAGUAAAUGUUGAGAAAUUAGUACAAGGACUUAAUUUUCCAUUUCUACCACACAGAUUUAAAAUAGGAAAUUAAAACCAAGGUUGUUUUCUUAAGCAUGAAAAGAUUGAAAAUAGGUCACUACAGAUAAGCAGUUGCAGUGACUUUUGUGAUUACAAAUCAAAUGUUAAAAAAGCAAAAAAUAAUUGCUGUAAUAUUUAACACCUUUUUUUCCUAAGUAUACACAUAUGUUGCAGAGUUACUACAGGUGUUUUCACUCCAAAGGAAAUAAAGUUCAUUUGAAAAUGUUUGAUAU